rnacentral:sRNA from 1 species
CAAACAAAAAUCAUCAUCAACAACAAUUACUAAAAAAAAAAACACACCUUCUUAUAUAGAUCGAUAUACAUAUACACAACAAAGUACAUAGAGUGCAUACAUGUAUAUUAGAAUACAACAGCAGGAGGUUUUCAUUCAUUCACCACUUUAAACUACAUACAAACACGUAUUUACAUGUAUAUUAUACGAGUAUCAUAUGAAAAAAUCAAAUCAAAUCAAAACAAAACCCAAAACUAUCACCUACAAACACACCUAACCUCCUACCCCUUACACACACACACACACAUGAUAUGAUUAGCAACGAUACAUUAGAGAGGUAUGACAGUAAGCGCUACAAUUACAAAUUACGCAAAGAGACAGAAAGCGAGAGAUUUAUUUAUACUAAGCAAAACAAAAAGAAAAUGAUAUUGAAGAUAAAAACAGUUCCGCCCAUCGUUAGCAUCAACGAUUUCGUAAACACAUAUAUGAAAAAAAGUUAGUAGAAAAGAAGAAAAAUCAAACGAAUUGGAAUGUCCAAGAAAAUUAUCCCUUGCCUUGCCUUUCUCCAACGAUAGCCAGCCCGUUCGUUCUGCCGAAAAUCUCCACAGUAGCCAUAAUAGCAAAAGCAAUUUUGAUUCAUUGUUCUGGGAACCCACAUGAGGUUUCCUGUCUAUCUUUCUUUCUGCCACAAAAACAAAAUUUUUAAAAAAUUUACUUGAAUAAUGUAUUAUUAUUUUUUUUUAGCUCUAUUCAACUAUAAUUAAAAAUUAUAGUUGAAAUUAAAACCAGUUCUACACCCAAAUUCUAUUCAAAAAUUUUUAUUUUAUUUGGUUUUUUAAUUGAAAAUUUUAUAUAUUUAUUUUUGGUUAUUUUAUUUGCUUAAAUAAAAAUUUUAUUUUUUUUUUCUUCCAUUCAACUACAAACAAAUCCAGUGAUCAAAGUUCUUCAUUCAAUUUUCAUUC